UCUCUCUCUUUCAUUUCUCCAACCCUAAUAUUCACUCUCUCUCUUUCUUUCUCUUCCACCGAGAAUGGGAAAAGCUUUGAACCAAGGCAACAAAUUAAUGUGAAAAAGUCCAAUGAAAUAUGUAAAGACCGAUGACAAAGAUGAGUUAGUGAAUCACAUUGGCCUCUCACAUCCUAAAUUUUUUCCGAUAUGUUCCCUCUCUAUAAACCUUCUGAGACCCAUAGCAAACUACAGAAACUCAUGUCAAGAUCGAAGACAAAGAUUCGAAGCAAACGGCAGAAACCCAUAACCACACUAAUCUUCGUCUUCGAUUCUAUGGAUUUACAUAUGGUGACCAUAUUUGCUAAUGGGGAGAGAGAAAUUGGUGAGUUAAUUGCAAAGUUUAUGAAGAGAGUUGGAAAAGAAGGUGUAAUCACAAUUGUUCUGAAGCCAACCAUCGAUAAAUUGAAAGAUCCAAUGGCAGGAAUCAUGGACAUGAUGAAGAGUACAAUUCUUGUCAGCAUUGAGAUGGCGCAAUUUUCUCAUGUCUCAAACUAUGUUAGCAAGGCAUAACUGGGAACAAAUGCAAUUUAGGAAAUGAAAGACUCAAGAAUAUUGAAGAUACUUUGAGUGCUGCCAGACUAAACUAUUGUAGAUAUUAAAACAGAUUUUAUGGUGGAACUAAAAUUGAUAUCUUGGGCAAAAAUGUUGUCGAGAAGUAUAGUAAGGACAAAUGUCGGCGUUGAAGGUUGACAUUGCCUCAUGUUUUCCCUCAGUUCAUCUAAGGAAACAAGUAAACCAAACCAAAACAAGGGUCUACACAUGUUGUGUGUUCCAUCGUUACAUGGGGAUUUUUAUCACAACUCUCUUGAUAUCUCUUGAUAUGAUAUUAUGUAAGGAGCUUAAGAAUAUUGGGAACAAAGUGUGCUUUUGAAUGAACAUAUCAACUACAAGAGCUAAUCAAUGACUGAUUAGAGGCAAGGACAGUUUGAGAAAAUGAUCUCAUUUUCUAACUUCUCUCUCUGCUUCACCUCUCUCUGUGUAAAGAAUCAAAUUGGAGGCAAGGAAAGUUUACUUUAUCAAAAAGUUGUCCCAAAAAGCACAAACUCAUUCCACAAAUUUGUGAUAUGUUCCUGCAGGAAAUUUACAAUUGAUUUCUAAAUGUCUGUUAAUUAUGUAUUUAUUACUAAAUGUUAAGUUAUGGUAUAUAUUCUUUUUCAUGACAGUCUGUUUGCAAUUGCAAUAAGUGUUCCAUGUUUUAGCUUUUGUUGAUAAGUCAGCUAUGCCAUUGAUCAUAAAAUACUUUAAAUGUCAUGAACAAUUACUACAAAAUCAAAGUUUAAAAGAAUUGUAGUCCACUUGAUUCAUGCAUGAAAUUAUUUACUGUUUACAGAUAUAAAAAAUUGUCAUGUUGCAGAGAUGAUUGUGGAUCCUCAACUUUUUCCAAACCCCUCAUUGCAAGUAUCUAACUUUGAAUCACAUGCUCAUAGGUUGAUAAAUAGUCGGUGAAAAUUUAUUGAAGUCAUUUCAGUUCUUCAUAAACCAAAAUUCACAAGAUUAACUUGCAAAAAAAAUGUUCUAGCAUCCAUUUGCUUAUAGAGUUGUUGUUAAUCCCAGCGACUUGAUUGCCACAGAAGUUCUAAUUUGGAGGUUCAAUGACACUGCAUCUUCAUGAGAAAGUAGACAUAUGGUGUAUUGGUUCAGGUUGCGAAGUGCAAUGUAUGCAGGCCAACUAUGUGUGGUGCGGUCCGAACAAAUGUAUUCGGUUUAAUGUCUUGAACAUGCUACGAAAGGCUAGGAUGUAGAGCAAACAAUGCAUGGAUUAUCAAACCUUGAAUAUAAUAGUUAGUGAAAUGUGUUAUGCUUAUUUAUUUUUGUCAA